rnacentral:rRNA from 1 species
CAGGACGAANGCUGGNGGNGUGCUUACACCUUCAAGUCGAGCGAUGAAAUCCCGACCGGGAUGGAUUAGCGGCGGACGGGUGAGUAACACGUGGGCAACCUGCCUCAAAGUGGGGGAUAGCCUUCCGAAAGGGAGAUUAAUACCGCAUAAUAUUAGUUUUUCACAUGAAUUAUUAAUUAAAGGAGUAAUCCGCUUUGAGAUGGGCCCGCGGCGCAUUAGCUAGUUGGUGAGGUAACGGCUCACCAAGGCCACGAUGCGUAGCCGACCUGAGAGGGUGAUCGGCCACAUUGGAACUGAGACACGGUCCAGACUCCUACGGGAGGCAGCAGUGGGGAAUAUUGCACAAUGGGCGAAAGCCUGAUGCAGCAACGCCGCGUGAGUGAUGAAGGUCUUCGGAUUGUAAAGCUCUGUCUUUGGGGACGAUAAUGACGGUACCCAAGGAGGAAGCCACGGCUAACUACGUGCCAGCAGCCGCGGUAAUACGUAGGUGGCGAGCGUUGUCCGGAUUUACUGGGCGUAAAGGAUGCGUAGGCGGAUGUUUAAGUCAGAUGUGA